rnacentral:rRNA from 1 species
AGCCAAUAGAUACCCAGGUAGUCCUGGCCUUAAACGAUGAUCACUAGGUGUAGGAGGCUUCGACCCCUUCUGCGCCGCCGCUAACGCAUUAAGUGAUCCGCCUGGGGAGUACGGCCGCAAGGUUAAAACUCAAAGGAAUUGACGGGGGCCCGCACAAGCAGUGGAGCAUGUGGUUUAAUUCGAUGCUACGCGAAAACCUUACCAGGGUUUGACAUCCCGGUGAAACCCCAUAGAAAUAUGGGGCCCCUUCGGGCACCGGUGACAGGUGGUGCAUGGUUGUCGUCAGCUCGUGCCGUGAGGUGUUGGAUUAAGUUCCGCAACGAGCGCAACCCUCGUUGCUAGUUGCCAUCAUUAAGUUGGGCACUCUAGCGAGACUGCCAGCGUCAAGCUGGAGGAAGGUGGGGAUGACGUCAAAUCAUCAUGCCCCUUACAUCCUGGGCUACACACGUGCUACAAUGGCCGGUACAACAGGUUGCUACCUCGCGAGAGGAUGCGAAUCCCCAAA